GACGAACGCUGGCGGCGUGCCUAAUACAUGCAAGUAGAACGCUGAAGAGAGGAGCUUGCUCUUCUUGGAUGAGUUGCGAACGGGUGAGUAACGCGUAGGUAACCUGCCUUGUAGCGGGGGAUAACUAUUGGAAACGAUAGCUAAUACCGCAUAACAAUGGAUGACACAUGUCAUUUAUUUGAAAGGGGCAAUUGCUCCACUACAAGAUGGACCUGCGUUGUAUUAGCUAGUAGGUGAGGUAAUGGCUCACCUAGGCGACGAUACAUAGCCGACCUGAGAGGGUGAUCGGCCACACUGGGACUGAGACACGGCCCAGACUCCUACGGGAGGCAGCAGUAGGGAAUCUUCGGCAAUGGGGGCAACCCUGACCGAGCAACGCCGCGUGAGUGAAGAAGGUUUUCGGAUCGUAAAGCUCUGUUGUAAGUCAAGAACGGGUGUGAGAGUGGAAAGUUCACACUGUGACGGUAGCUUACCAGAAAGGGACGGCUAACUACGUGCCAGCAGCCGCGGUAAUACGUAGGUCCCGAGCGUUGUCCGGAUUUAUUGGGCGUAAAGCGAGCGCAGGCGGUUUGAUAGUCUGAAGUUAAAGGCUGUGGCUCAACCUUAGUUCGCUUUGGAAACUGUCAAACUUGAGUGCAGAAGGGGAGAGUGGAAUUCCAUGUGUAGCGGUGAAAUGCGUAGAUAUAUGGAGGAACACCGGUGGCGAAAGCGGCUCUCUGGUCUGUAACUGACGCUGAGGCUCGAAAGCGUGGGGAGCGAACAGGAUUAGAUACCCUGGUAGUCCACGCCGUAAACGAUGAGUGCUAGGUGUUGGAUCCUUUCCGGGAUUCAGUGCCGCAGCUAACGCAUUAAGCACUCCGCCUGGGGAGUACGACCGCAAGGUUGAAACUCAAAGGAAUUGACGGGGGCCCGCACAAGCGGUGGAGCAUGUGGUUUAAUUCGAAGCAACGCGAAGAACCUUACCAGGUCUUGACAUCCCGAUGCUAUUUCUAGAGAUAGAAAGUUACUUCGGUACAUCGGUGACAGGUGGUGCAUGGUUGUCGUCAGCUCGUGUCGUGAGAUGUUGGGUUAAGUCCCGCAACGAGCGCAACCCCUAUUGUUAGUUGCCAUCAUUCAGUUGGGCACUCUAGCGAGACUGCCGGUAAUAAACCGGAGGAAGGUGGGGAUGACGUCAAAUCAUCAUGCCCCUUAUGACCUGGGCUACACACGUGCUACAAUGGUUGGUACAACGAGUUGCGAGUCGGUGACGGCGAGCUAAUCUCUUAAAGCCAAUCUCAGUUCGGAUUGUAGGCUGCAACUCGCCUACAUGAAGUCGGAAUCGCUAGUAAUCGCGGAUCAGCACGCCGCGGUGAAUACGUUCCCGGGCCU
rnacentral:rRNA from 1 species